UAAAGAUGAAGCAGGGCUACAAGGA
rnacentral:misc_RNA from 1 species